UAACGUAUGGCUUAGUGGCCAGAGCGCGUGGACGGUUUCCAAGAGGCGUGGGUUAAAAUCCUGCUUCGUUAU
rnacentral:tRNA from 1 species